rnacentral:lncRNA from 1 species
CACGCAUGGGACUAACACAUCUGAUGGAGAGCCAAGCUGUUUCCACCAAACAAGAAGAGAAACAUCACAAGAUCUCUCUAUUUGGGAGAAGAAAAUCUGGAAAUGACAUCAUUUCCCACCACAUUUCCAGACGCUCCCUGGAGGGUCUGCUAUGGCUACUCUUGUGGGAUCAAGGGCUGCUGGUGACUUGAGCCCUCGGGGAACUGCAACAGACACAUUUCAAAGAGGAGACAGAGUGAAGCAGAUCUUUCUAUUCAAGUUCCCUUACACAAGCUUGUAUCCACACUGAAGAACACCCCUAGGAAACUUCAAGGUACCAAGGACAAGGAGAAACUCCUGACAGAUUUUACAGAGGAGUUUGGGAAGUCAAACUCAGAAUAUCCUUUGACUUCUCAAGAGCAACAUUGGAUGCUGGAAGACAAUGGAAUACCAAAAUUCUGUAGGGAAGAAACUUUCAUCAUAGUAUCCUAUGUUUAGCCAAACCAGUAGUUAAAUAAAGAAGGGAAAACAUGUCAAAUAAGUUACAGCUUAUACUCACAGAGAAAAUUAUUAAGGGUGAAGCCCAGCAAAAGAGAAAACACUAAAAAAGCAGAAGCCAUGAGUGAGGGUGGAGUUUUUGAUUGACAACUUGAUUGUUUCUCAAUAAAAACACCCAGGGAACUAAUGAUUCCCAGCUUUGGUGUGUGCUUGCAGACUCUUUCAGAAAGGAGAAACUGAGUGUGGAGGUACCAUUUCAUGGACUGUGCUUCCAGACUAAAUAAAGGAAGGAAAGAAAGACGGCAGAAUGCUGAACUUCCUCCCUUUGCUUCCUGGUUUGCAAACAUACGAACACGCAACUUCCCAUACCUACCACCACAGCUGUGAACCACCUCCACACUGUGCCUUCUCCACCAUGGUGAAUGACACCCUCAAGUCACAAGCUACCACAAAUGUUUCUUUACCCACUUUGCUUCUUGUUAGUAAUGGCCAAAGUGAUGGGAAAUGUUACCAGUAUAACACAGGAGGCAGGAACAGUGGCUCUGACCUGGAAGAGCAGAGAGAGAAGGCCCUGGAGAACAGCUGAGCAGCAGGUAAGAAACAGGCAACCCAGAUAGGG